CAUGCUAUGAAAUCUUUUAACUUUAUACUGGCAACAUUAUAUUUGACAUAUUUAAUUUUCAAAUAUGGCAAAGUUUUAUCGAUUGUUCAUAUUUUUCGCGUUUUGGGCUGUCGUGAUUUUGAGGACAGAUUUUUUAAACUAAAUCAAAAUGCUAGCACUCAGAAGCCUACUUAGAAACACCACCCAGGUUUCCAAAAAUGUGAUCCAACAAAGAAAUAUGAGUGUAACCGCUAUUCCGGCUAGAUCGAAGGUUUCCACAGGCGAGUUCCUGUUCCUAUCCACUCUCAUGGUUAUCGGCUGGUCGGCCAUCCCUGCCUGGGUGCUCGUACACAUCAAGGACUACCGCAAUAAGAACUAAACCAUAGACAAAUAGUAUUUAUGUAGAUAUAACUAUGGCAAGUUGCUUGUGAUGAUUAUGUUAAGUAAAAAUGGUUUAAUCUAUUAAA